rnacentral:rRNA from 1 species
CAGUCGCCGCGGUAAUACGUAGGUGGCAAGCGUUGUCCGGAAUUAUUGGGCGUAAAGCGAGCGCAGGCGGUUCCUUAAGUCUGAUGUGAAAGCCCCCGGCUCAACCGGGGAGGGUCAUUGGAAACUGGGGAACUUGAGUGCAGAAGAGGAGAGCGGAAUUCCAUGUGUAGCGGUGAAAUGCGUUGAGAUCGGAAAGAACACCAACGGCGAAAGCACUCUGCUGGGCCGACACUGACACUGAGAGACGAAAGCUAGGGGAGCAAAUGGGAUUAGAUACCCGUGUAGUCCCUGUCUCUUAUAC